rnacentral:rRNA from 1 species
UGGGGAAUAUUGGACAAUGGGCGCAAGCCUGAUCCAGCCAUGCCGCGUGGAUGAUGAAGGCCUUAGGGUUGUAAAGUCCUUUUAACGGGGAAGAUAAUGACGGUACCCGUAGAAUAAGCCCCGGCUAACUUCGUGCCAGCAGCCGCGGUAAUACGAAGGGGGCUAGCGUUGCUCGGAAUCACUGGGCGUAAAGCGCACGUAGGCGGCUUUCUAAGUCAGAGGUGAAAUCCUGGAGCUCAACUCCAGAACUGCCUUUGAUACUGGAAAGCUUGAGUUCGGGAGAGGUGAGUGGAACUGCGAGUGUAGAGGUGAAAUUCGUAGAUAUUCGCAAGAACACCAGUGGCGAAGGCGGCUCACUGGCCCGAUACUGACGCUGAGGUGCGAAAGCGUGGGGAGCAAACAGG